UACGUAGGUGACAAGCGUUGUCCGGAUUUACUGGGCGUAAAGAGCGCGCAGGCGGUCGAUCAAGUCGAGUGUGAAAGCCCCCGGCUCAACUGGGGAGGGUCAUUCGAUACUGAUCGACUCGAAGGCAGGAGAGGGUAGUGGAAUUCCCGGUGUAGCGGUGAAAUGCGUAGAGAUCGGGAGGAACACCAGAGGCGAAGGCGGCGACCUGGACAGGCACUGACACUCAACUACGAAAGCGUGGGGAGCAAACAGG
rnacentral:rRNA from 1 species